GACGUAGGGCGCGAGCGUUGUCCGGAUUUAUUGGGCGUAAAGAGCUCGUAGGCGGCUUGUCGCGUCGGUCGUGAAAACCUGCAGCUCAACUGCAGGCUUGCGGUCGAUACGGGCAGGCUGGAGUUCGGUAGGGGAGACUGGAAUUCCUGGUGUAGCGGUGAAAUGCGUUGAUAUCAUCAGGAACACCGGAGGCGAAAACGGCCCACUGGGUCUUAUCUGACGCUGAGGGACGAAAGCUAGGGGAGCGAACGGG
rnacentral:rRNA from 1 species